AUAGUUCCAGUUCAAUGAGAACCGUUCUCAAUUCUUACAUGGAGUUCUCUCCAUGGCGCACAAAGCGCGCGAAUAUCGAAAUGCCUCAAAUAAACAAAAGCAAAAACUGUUUGUAUGCCAUUACAAAGCUAUCGAUGAGCGUGUGCAUGUAUUGGUGUGUGAGUGUGCAGGUGCCUGUGUGUGCUUGUGUGUGUGUGUGUGUGUGUGCGUGUGACGCUGUUAGCUGCGGCUGUCGACUGCUCGCAGCAGUUGCCAGACGCAUAGCGCGCCGAUCGCAACGUUUUCUUGGCCGCGCGCCGAACAGCCAAAAGCCGGGUGAAAAAUGAACUAAAAGAAAGAAGAGAGAAAGAAAAAGAAAGACAACAAACACAAAAGACAAAUAGAAA